rnacentral:misc_RNA from 1 species
AUGGGAUGGUUGAGGCCGGGGCCACGCCCCCUCUGCCCCCCUGCGAGGGCAUCCUGGGCUUUCUCCCACCGCUUUCCGAGCCCGCUUGCACCUCGGCGAUCCCCGACUCCCUUCUUUAUGGCGUCGCUCCUGUGCUGUGGGCCGAAGCUGGCCGCCUGCGGCAUCGUCCUCAGCGCCUGGGGAGUGAUCAUGUUGGUGAGGGGACUCCCCGGCAAGGAUCGGAGAGGGCCUGAGGGGCUCCGGGCUGGGAGGGCUGGGAGGCGAGGAAACUCUGGGCCGCAGGCAGGCCGGAGGGGCCGGGGAUCUACAGGCCCCGGAGAAGGAGACAGACUGAAAUUGAAAAAUGGGAACUGUUCGAGACCAGCCUGACCAACAUGGUGAAACCCCGUCUCCAAUAAAAAUACAAAAAUUAGCCGGGCGUGGUGGCGCCCGCCUGUAAUCCCAGCUACUCAGGAGGCUGAGGCAGGAGAAUCGCUUGAAUCCGGGAGGCGGAGGGUGCAGUGAGCCGAGAUCGCGCCACUGCACUCCAGCCUGGGUGACAGAGCGAGACUCCGUCCCCAAAGAAAAAGAAAAAAGGGAACUGGAGCGGAGGGCCCUGGAGUGGGAGGAGCCAGGGCUGGUAAAGGUGGAGACCCCUCAAGGUAGGAGAAACAAGAGCGGGGUGCCUGAGAGGUGCUUGAGUUGAAUGGAGGACAUGGGAGGAAAAGAGAGUGCUUGUUCCAGAAAUGUGUAGCUGGGCCUUGUUUUCCCAGUAAUCCACCCACCGCCACUUCAAGAAGAAAUGAUAUGAAGAAGUGCCGGUUCUCCCUCCCCUCUUCCGCACUGUCCCGUGAUGAUGACGCCUCCAGAGAGGACGAUAAUCUGGGUUCCUGGGAGAGAUGGCUUGGUCACUAUUCCCACCCUUGCCUCGACCACUUGUCUCAAUGUCACCACCUCACGCCCUGUUCCAGGUGGCUGAGUCCGAAUCCAAUAAUGCUCGGAAUAUUUUUCAAUGUCCAUUCCGCUGUGUUGAUUGAGGACGUUCCCUUCACGGAGAAAGAUUUUGAGAAUGGCCCCCAGAACAUAUACAACCUUUACGAGCAAGUCAGCUACAACUGUUUCAUCGCUGCAGGCCUUUACCUCCUCCUCGGAGGCUUCUCUUUCUGCCAAGUUCGGCUCAAUAAGCGCAAGGAAUACAUGGUGCGCUAGGGCCCCGGCGCGUUUCCCCGCUCCAGCCCCUCCUCUAUUUAAAGACUCCCUGCACCGUGUCACCCAGGUCGCGUCCCACCCUUGCCGGCGCCCUCUGCGGGACUGGGUUUCCCGGGCGAGAGACUGAAUCCCUUCUCCCAUCUCUGGCAUCCGGCCCCCGUGGAGAGGGCUGAGGCUGGGGGGCUGUUCCGUUUCUCCACCCUUCGCUGUGUCCCGUAUCUCAAUAAAGAGAAUCUGCUCUCUUCAG